CCCGCCCCCAAAUCCCGUGGCCCUCUGCGGGACAUUAUUUAAGUCCCUCGCUGCGCUUUUUCGGUCUUGUUUCAUUCGCUGUUGUCUGUGAGUUGUUAUCUUCUUUUCGUGUUCUAUUUGUUUGUCUUUAUCAUUAAUGUUCGCCCCGCAGGCCUGGCUUUGGGGUGUAUUUAUUUGGUCGACUGGGUGCUGUGGAAGGGGUGGUUUCGGCCGUGGCUUUGAGGCCCCGAAGCGGCGGCGGGGAUUUUUGUAAAGGACAAAAUGGCGAUGGCGGGUUGCUGGCGGUCCUCCCUAUGAUGAGGACCUUUUCACAGACCUGUACUGAGCCCCGUGAGGAUAAGUAACUCUGAGGAGACUGCCCCUGAAAAGCCAAUGUCCUACUCUGCUGCCGCUCCGGAAGGAAAAAAAUUUGUGAAAUACCCAGUGCUAACUUUUCCUAACGUCUUGUGUUGUUCUGUUUCUUUUUGUCUGCAGGGUUCAGGCACACGUUUGAGUAGAAAAGAACCCUGCGCUGAUUGGAAUGUUCCGCUCAAAAGAGCUUACUGGUAUGAGGAUGGGGACAAGACCCUUCCGCAAAUGGCGGGUGGCACGAGGCCCUGGAAGAGCUGGUCAUAUUACGCCUAG
rnacentral:lncRNA from 1 species